UGAUUCCCGCCGAAUAAUCUCAGGUC
rnacentral:piRNA from 1 species